rnacentral:rRNA from 1 species
CCUACGGGGGGCUGCAGUAGGGAAUAUUGGGCAAUGGAUGGAAGUCUGACCCAGCCAUGCCGCGUGCCGGAUGAAGGCGCUCUGCGUUGUAAACGGCUUUUAUUCGGGAAGAAGAGUAGGGAUGCGUCCUUAUGUGACGGUACCGAAUGAAUAAGCACCGGCUAACUCCGUGCCAGCAGCCGCGGUAAUACGGAGGGUGCGAGCGUUGUCCGGAUUUAUUGGGUUUAAAGGGUGCGUAGGUGGCUUAAUAAGUCAGUGGUGAAAUACGGUUGCUU